UGGGGAAUUUUGGACAAUGGGCGAAAGCCUGAUCCAGCAAUGCCGCGUGUGUGAAGAAGGCCUUCGGGUUGUAAAGCACUUUUGUCCGGAAAGAAAUCCUUGGCUCUAAUACAGUCGGGGGAUGACGGUACCGGAAGAAUAAGCACCGGCUAACUACGUGCCAGCAGCCGCGGUAAUACGUAGGGUGCAAGCGUUAAUCGGAAUUACUGGGCGUAAAGCGUGCGCAGGCGGUUUGCUAAGACCGAUGUGAAAUCCCCGGGCUCAACCUGGGAACUGCAUUGGUGACUGGCAGGCUAGAGUAUGGCAGAGGGGGGUAGAAUUCCACGUGUAGCAGUGAAAUGCGUAGAGAUGUGGAGGAAUACCGAUGGCGAAGGCAGCCCCCUGGGCCAAUACUGACGCUCAUACACGAAAGCGUGGGGAGCAAACAGGAUUAGAUACCCUGGUAGUCCACGCCCUAAACGAUGUCAACUAGUUNUUGGGGAUUCAUUUUCCUUAGUAACGUAGCUAACGCGUGAAGUUGACCGCCUGGGGAGUACGGUCGCAAGAUUAAAACUU
rnacentral:rRNA from 1 species